rnacentral:rRNA from 1 species
AUUGAACGCUGGCGGCAGGCCUAACACAUGCAAGUCGAACGAGUGGCGGACGGGUGAGUAAUGUCUGGGAAACUGCCUGAUGGAGGGGGAUAACUACUGGAAACGGUAGCUAAUACCGCAUACCAUCAGCUGUGCCCAGAGGGGAUUAGCGUGCUGGUGGGGUAACGGCUCACCGAGGCGACGAUCCCUAGCUGGUCUGAGAGGAGGACAAGCCCCACGGGGACUGAGACAGGGUCCAGACUCCGACGGGAGGAAGCAGUGGGGAAUAUUGCAGAAUGGGCGGAAGCCUGAUGCAGCCAUGCCGCGUGUAUGAAGAAGGCCUUCGGGUUGUAAAGUGCUUUCAGCGGGGAGGCGUUACCCGCAGAGGAAGCACCGGCUAACGCCGUGCCAGCAGCCGCGGUAAUUC